CCUACGGGAGGCAGCAGUGAGGAAUAGUGGUCAAUGGACGCAAGUCGGAACCAGCCAGGCCGCGUGCAGGAAGACGGCUCUAUGAGUUGUAAACUGCUUUUGUACGAGGGGAAACGCAGAUACGCGGAUCUGUCUGAAAGGAUCGUACGAAUAAGGAUCGGCUAACUCCGUGCCAGCAGCCGCGGUAAUACGGAGGAUUCAAGCGUUAUCCGGAUUUAUGGGGUUUAACGGGUGCGUAGGCGGUCGGAUAAGUUAGAGGUGAAAUCCCGAGGCUCAACGUCGGAAUUGCCUCUGAUACGGUUCGGCUAGAGCGUCGUUGCGGUAGGCGGACUGUUUGGUGUCGCGGU
rnacentral:rRNA from 1 species